GUCAGGUUGGCCGAGCGGUCUAAGGCGCCCAGACUCAAAUUCUGGUCCACAAUUGUAGGCGUGGGUUCGAAUCCCACACCUGACA